AUUCCAGCUCCAAUAGCGUAUAUUAAAGUUGUUGCAGUUAAAAAGCUCGUAGUCGGAUUUCGGGUCGGGCCGAGCGGUCUGCCGAUGGGUAUGCACUGUUCGGCGCGGCCUUCCUUCCGGAGACCGCGGCUACUCUUAACUGAGCGGGCGUGGGAGACGGAUCGUUUACUUUGAAAAAAUCAGAGUGUUUCAAGCAGGCAGCUCGCUCUUGCAUGGAUUAGCAUGGGAUAAUGAAAUAGGACUUUGGUGCUAUUUUGUUGGUUUCGAACACCGAAGUAAUGAUUAACAGGGACAGUCAGGGGCACUCGUAUUCCGCCGAGAGAGGUGAAAUUCUCAGACCAGCGGAAGACGAACCACUGCGAAAGCAUUUGCCAGGGAUGUUUUCAUCA
rnacentral:rRNA from 1 species